UACGUAGGGCGCAAGCGUUGUCCGGAAUUAUUGGGCGUAAAGAGCUCGUAGGCGGUGUGUCACGUCGGCCGUGAAAACCUGCAGCUUAACUGUGGGCGUGCGGUCGAUACGGGCAUCACUGGAGUUCGGCAGGGGAGACUGGAAUUCCUGGUGUAGCGGUGAAAUGCGCAGAUAUCAGGAGGAACACCGGUGGCGAAGGCGGGGUCUCUGGGCCGAUA
rnacentral:rRNA from 1 species